rnacentral:rRNA from 1 species
AUGAUAGUUCUUAAACUAGACUUCCAGAAGGCAUUCGACACGGUUAGUUGGGCUUGCCUUCCCAGCAUUUUGGAGGCUCGUGGCUUUCCUCAGAAAUGGAUCAGUUGGGUUGAUGCUAUUCUGUCCACGGCCAGCUCCAGGGUCAUGAUCAAUGGUGAAUUGGGCGAACCGUUCCAGGCCAAAAGAGGAUUCAGGCAAGGUGAUUCAAUGUCACCG